GAUGAACGCUGGCGGCGUGCCUAAUACAUGCAAGUCGAGCGAACGGACGAGAAGCUUGCUUCUCUGAUGUUAGCGGCGGACGGGUGAGUAACACGUGGAUAACCUACCUAUAAGACUGGGAUAACUUCGGGAAACCGGAGCUAAUACCGGAUAAUAUUUUGAACCGCAUGGUUCAAAAGUGAAAGACGGUCUUGCUGUCACUUAUAGAUGGAUCCGCGCUGCAUUAGCUAGUUGGUAAGGUAACGGCUUACCAAGGCAACGAUGCAUAGCCGACCUGAGAGGGUGAUCGGACACACUGGAACUGAGACACGGUCCAGACUCCUACGGGAGGCAGCAGUAGGGAAUCUUCCGCAAUGGGCGAAAGCCUGACGUAGCAACGCCGCGUGAGUGAUGAAGGUCUUCGGAUCGUAAAACUCUGUUAUUAGGGAAGAACAUAUGUGUAAGUAACUGUGCACAUCUUGACGGUACCUAAUCAGAAAGCCACGGCUAACUACGUG
rnacentral:rRNA from 1 species